UUAAAUGGCCGCAGUAUUUUGACUGUGCAAAGGUAGCAUAAUCAUUAGUUUCUUAAUUAGAAGCUGGUAUGAAGGGUUCGAUGAAAAAUUAACUGUCUUUUUUAAAAUUUUAGAAUUUUAUUUUUGAGUUAAAAAGCUUAAAUUUUUUAUAAAGACGAGAAGACCCUAUAGAGUUUUACAGUUUAUUGAUUAAGAUUUAAAGGUUUAUUUUUAUUUAGAUUUAAUUUUCUGAUUUAUUGGGGUGAUUAGAAAAUUAAAUUAACUUUUCUUAGGUUUUACAUUUAUAAGUGUUUUUAUGAUCCUUUAUUUAGGAUUUUAAGAUUAAAUUACCUUAGGGAUAACAGCGUAAUUCUUUUUGAGAGUUCUUAUUUAAAAAAGAGUUUGCGACCUCGAUGUUGGAUUAAAAUAAAUGUUAGGUGCAGAAGCUUAACUAUUAGGUCUGUUCGACCUUUAAAAUUUUACAUGAUCU
rnacentral:rRNA from 1 species